GGGACCGUAAGGGUUUCGACGGGGAUUUUGAGGUAUGAUAAGCGUGGCGGGCUGAAUAAUCCCGAUAAACUGUUCAACUUAAAAUUAAACGACAACAAUAAAGUUGCUCUUGCAGCGUAAGCUGUGACGCGGCCAAAAGCGCCGCCCGUACCGCGGAUGAGGACUACGGCUUCCGCCGUGCGUCAAAUUAAGUAGUGAACCUGAAUCGAGAUUUCGCACUUGUAUCGGUCAGGCAUAAAAGCGCUACCGAGAUACAAGCCUGUCUAUCGGCGUGUAUUAAGGGAAUUGUUAAAAGAUAAGACUGCCCACGGAGAAGGUCAUAUCAAGAGGUUUUCGGACACGGGUUCAACUCCCGUCGGUUCCACCA
rnacentral:tmRNA from 1 species